rnacentral:rRNA from 1 species
GACGAACGCUGGCGGCGUGCCUAAUACAUGCAAGUCGAGCGGGGAUGCUUCCGGAAGCCCUUCGGGGCGGAAGGCUGCAUCCUAGCGGCGGACGGGUGAGUAACGCGUAGGGAACCUGCC